rnacentral:pre_miRNA from 1 species
GAUUCUGUGUCUGGUAGGCAGUGUAUUGCUAGCUGGCUGCUGUGUCUGAUUGUAGCAGCCGCUACUGCACUGUCACCAGCUGCAGAGCCA